GGGGAGCAAGAAAUUUUUUCAACCGGGUUAAUCUUAUAUAACAAUAAUAAUAGUAAAAUAAUAAUAUAUAAAAUAAUAAUUUUUGGAUAACUUGAUUUUUAAAUUUAUUGAUUAUUUCUGAAAAAUUGAAACAGAUUUGGAGUUAAAUAUUAUAAUUAGAAUUGAUAGUUUAAAUUAAUUGAUAUUGAAAUAUAAUCUAUUGACCGGGUGAUUGUGGUCGAGUGGUAAGGAGACGGGGCUGAGACACCAACAUGUUUCAGGUUCGAUCCACCUGCUGCGCGAAACUAAGUCACAAUUAUCCUAGUCACCCAACACGGAUAUGGGCCCAUGCUUUAGGGCCCAUUUGAAUACCCGGAGAGAGGGUCUAUCCGUGGGCUGCACCUCCCCUUAGGGAUUAGUCUGGGCUUCUCCAUGGGCUUGGGAUACCCCCAGGUUAAAAAAAAAAAAAAAAAAAAAACUAUUGACAUUUAUAUAGGUUAUUAUUUUACCCAAUUUUUACUAGUAUUAAAAUUAGAAUCAAAGGAUAGUUGUUUUAAUGUAUUUGAAAACAUCAAAGCUAUGAUAAUUUAUCUAAAAGAAAAAUACAUAACCUUAAUUUUAAAUUUAAUUCAUUAACAAUCGCUUUAAAUCUUUGUAUGUUCUGCAAUUCAAACAAGGGAAAUGAUACAAAUACGUGUUUUACUUUAUUUGGAAACCUAUUUUUUGUAGCUAAAAUUACUUAUAUGGGUUUAAAUUUUAGAUGAUAAAAUAGUAUUUAGUUGGAGUAACGUGGAUUUCACAAAAUAUAAGGGUCAAUCGAAAAUUUGUACCGGGAUAAAUGCUGUAAAUUUGGACAAAACAUUUUAGAUAAUUAAAUUAGUGGGGUCAGCUGACCCCCUCCCUUCUACAUGCCUCUGCCUAUGCCUCUGCAUAUAAAAAAAAUGAUGUAAAUGAAGGAACGCGGAUUAAACGCGAGUCCGAAAAAU
rnacentral:lncRNA from 1 species